rnacentral:misc_RNA from 1 species
UGCUUUGCAAGCAGGGGGUCGUCGGUUCGAUCCCGUCCAUCCUCCACCAAUUACUCUGUGCCAUGGUUGACAAACCAAAGCAUCCGUUGCGCGAAAGCGUGAGCGGUUGUUCUGGUUUGUCAGUCAUAAGGCUCGUAAGAGUCGGCUGUUGUUCUUUAACAAUUUGUAGAGUCGAAUCAGCGCUGCUAGCGGAAAGCGCCAUCUCGUAAAGGGGGUGAGCGUACCGUGCCGCUAGUAGCUUUUGAUUGCGUCAAACACAAGACUUCAACUGAGCAAGAAAUUGUUUAGGUAUGAAGAACGGCGUAACGCGUGAAUACUCAAUAAACGUAUGGAGCUGAGAGGCUCUGUACGAGUCCUUGACGACAGUGCAGUCAGCGCUGUCAAAGUUAUAGGGUCAAGUGACUAAGUGCAUGUGGUGGAUGCCUUGGCGAUUACAGGCGAUGAAGGACGUGCUAA